rnacentral:tRNA from 1 species
GCUGGGGGUAAAGUUGGGGGUAAAGACUUUCAAAAUUCGAGAAGCAAGCCUUAGAACCCUUUUAUAGUCAGCAUUCUAAAAACUAGACCUACUGAUUUGUAAUCAGCCGGUCGCAAGUUCGAGUCUUGUCACCAGCU